GACGAACGCUGGCGGCGUGCUUAACACAUGCAAGUCGAACGGAAAGGCCCUGCUUUUGUGGGGUGCUCGAGUGGCGAACGGGUGAGUAACACGUGAGUAACCUGCCCUUGACUUUGGGAUAACUUCAGGAAACUGGGGCUAAUACCGGAUAGGAGCUCCUGCUGCAUGGUGGGGGUUGGAAAGUUUCGGCGGUUGGGGAUGGACUCGCGGCUUAUCAGCUUGUUGGUGGGGUAGUGGCUUACCAAGGCUUUGACGGGUAGCCGGCCUGAGAGGGUGACCGGACGCGUGGGGGAGGGGAUACGCCCCAGAGUCGAGGGGGAGGCGUCGGUGGUGAGAAGGGAACGAGGGGGGGGGGAUGUCGGCAGAAGCGGGACGGGAGGGAUGAGGGCCUACGGGUGAUGAACCGCGUUCGCCGGUGACGAAGCGUGGGUGAGGGUAGGGGAAAAAGAGCCACUGGCAAACGGCGGGCCAGCAGCGGGGUGAAUAAUAGAAAAACCCCCCGUAACACC
rnacentral:rRNA from 1 species